GAUGAACGCUAGCUACAGGCUUAACACAUGCAAGUCGAGGGGCAGCAUGGUCUUAGCUUGCUAAGGCCGAUGGCGACCGGCGCACGGGUGAGUAACACGUAUCCAACCUGCCGUCUACUCUUGGACAGCCUUCUGAAAGGAAGAUUAAUACAAGAUGGCAUCAUGAGUCCGCAUGUUCACAUGAUUAAAGGUAUUCCGGUAGACGAUGGGGAUGCGUUCCAUUAGAUAGUAGGCGGGGUAACGGCCCACCUAGUCUUCGAUGGAUAGGGGUUCUGAGAGGAAGGUCCCCCACAUUGGAACUGAGACACGGUCCAAACUCCUACGGGAGGCAGCAGUGAGGAAUAUUGGUCAAUGGGCGAGAGCCUGAACCAGCCAAGUAGCGUGAAGGAUGACUGCCCUAUGGGUUGUAAACUUCUUUUAUAAAGGAAUAAAGUCGGGUAUGGAUACCCGUUUGCAUGUACUCUAUGAAUAAGGAUCGGCUAACUCCGUGCCAGCAGCCGCGGUAAUACGGAGGAUCCGAGCGUUAUCCGGAUUUAUUGGGUUUAAAGGGAGCGUAGAUGGAUGUUUAAGUCAGUUGUGAAAGUUUGCGGCUCAACCGUAAAAUUGCAGUUGAUACUGGAUAUCUUGAGUGCAGUUGAGGCAGGCGGAAUUCGUGGUGUAGCGGUGAAAUGCUUAGAUAUCACGAAGAACUCCGAUUGCGAAGGCAGCCUGCUAAGCUGCAACUGACAUUGAGGCUCGAAAGUGUGGGUAUCAAACAGGAUUAGAUACCCUGGUAGUCCACACGGUAAACGAUGAAUACUCGCUGUUUGCGAUAUACGGCAAGCGGCCAAGCGAAAGCGUUAAGUAUUCCACCUGGGGAGUACGCCGGCAACGGUGAAACUCAAAGGAAUUGACGGGGGCCCGCACAAGCGGAGGAACAUGUGGUUUAAUUCGAUGAUACGCGAGGAACCUUACCCGGGCUUAAAUUGCAGAUGAAUUACGGUGAAAGCCGUAAGCCGCAAGGCAUCUGUGAAGGUGCUGCAUGGUUGUCGUCAGCUCGUGCCGUGAGGUGUCGGCUUAAGUGCCAUAACGAGCGCAACCCUUGUUGUCAGUUACUAACAGGUUCCGCUGAGGACUCUGACAAGACUGCCAUCGUAAGAUGUGAGGAAGGUGGGGAUGACGUCAAAUCAGCACGGCCCUUACGUCCGGGGCUACACACGUGUUACAAUGGGGGGUACAGAGGGCCGCUACCACGCGAGUGGAUGCCAAUCCCCAAAACCUCUCUCAGUUCGGACUGGAGUCUGCAACCCGACUCCACGAAGCUGGAUUCGCUAGUAAUCGCGCAUCAGCCACGGCGCGGUGAAUACGUUCCCGGGCCUUGUACACACCGCCCGUCAAGCCAUGGGAGCCGGGGGUACCUGAAGUGCGUAACCGCGAGGAGCGCCCUAGGGUAAAACUGGUGAC
rnacentral:rRNA from 1 species